UACGUAGGGAGCAAGCGUUGUCCGGAAUCAUUGGGCGUAAAGCGCGCGUAGGUGGCCUCGUAAGUCCGCUGUAAAAGUCCAGGGCUCAACCCUGGAAAGCCGGUGGAUACUGUCGGGCUAGAGUCCGGAAGAGGCGAGUGGAAUUCCUGGUGUAGCGGUGGAAUGCGCAGAUAUCAGGAAGAACACCCGUGGCGAAGGCGGCUCUCUGGGACGGUACUGACGCUGAGACGCGAAAGCGUGGGGAGCGAACAGG
rnacentral:rRNA from 1 species